UCAAGUUAUUAAGGGUGCAGGGCGGAUGCCUUGGCACUAGGAGCCGAUGAAGGACGUGAUAAGCUGCGAUAAGCUUCGGGGAGUUGCACGUAAACUUUGAUCCGAAGAUUUCCGAAUGAGGAAACUCACUUAGAGUAAUGUCUAAGUAUCAUUAAGUGAAUACAUAGCUUAAUGAGGGGAACUCAGGGAACUGAAACAUCUAAGUACCUGAAGGAAGAGAAAGAAAUUCGAUUCCGUAAGUAGCGGCGAGCGAACGCGGAUUAGCCCAAACCAAUAAAGUUUUCUUUAUUGGGGUUGCGGACAUAUCAUAACGAAGAGGUAUCGUAAUUGAAGAGGUUUGGAAAGACCCACCACAGAAGGUAAUAGUCCUGUAUGUUAAACGAGAAGACUUCAGAUAUGAUCCAGAGUACCACGGGACACGUGAAACCCUGUGGGAAGCAGGAGGGACCACCCUCCAAGGCUAAAUACUACCUAGUGACCGAUAGCGUAUAGUACCGUGAGGGAAAGGUGAAAAGAACCCCGGGAGGGGAGUGAAAUAGAACCUGAAACCCUGCACUUACAAGCUGUGGAAGCACAUUUCUUGUGUGACCGCGUACUUUUUGUAGAACGGGCCAACGAGUUACGUUAAGUAGCAAGGUUAAGCACUUAAGGUGCGGAGCCGUAGCGAAAGCGAGUUUUAACUGAGCGUUCAGUUACUUGACGUAGACCCGAAACCGGGCGACCUACCCAUGAGCAGGAUGAAGCGAAAGUAAAAUUUCGUGGAGGUCCGAACCCACGAGCGUUGAAAAGCUCGGGGAUGACUUGUGGGUAGCGGUGAAAUUCCAAUCGAGCCCGGAGAUAGCUGGUUCUCCCCGAAAUAGCUUUAGGGCUAGCCUCAAGGUGAGAGAUACGGAGGUAGAGCACUGAAUGUCCUAGGGGGUAUUGCACCUACCGAAGACUAUCAAACUCCGAAUGCCGUCAUCUUAUACUUGGGAGUCAGACUGUGGGUGAUAAGAUUCAUAGUCGAAAGGGCAACAGCCCAGAUCGUCAGCUAAGGUCCCUAAAUGUAAGUUAAGUGGUAAAGGAUGUGGGAUUGCACAGACAACCAGGAUGUUGGCUUAGAAGCAGCCACUCAUUCAAAGAGUGCGUAAUAGCUCACUGGUCGAGUGAUCCUGCGCCGAAGAUUUCCGGGGCUAAAACUUACUACCGAAGCUACGGCAUCAGUAAUGAUGGGUAGGGGAGCUUCCCAUACGGGUUGAAGCAUGACCGUAAGGACAUGUGGACAGUAUGGGAGUGAGAAUGUUGGCAUGAGUAGCGAGAUGUGGGUGAGAAUCCCACAGGCCGUAAACCCAAGGUUUCCAGGGGAAGGUUCGUCCGCCCUGGGUUAGUCGGGACCUAAGCUGAGGCCGAAAGGCGUAGGUGAUGGACAACAGGUUGAUAUUCCUGUACUACCGAUAACCGUUUGAGAGAAGGGAUGACACAGUAGGAUAAGCUAAGCACACUGUUGGUUAUGUGUGCCCAAGCAUUGAGGCAGUCAAAGUAGGCAAAUCCGCUUUGAUAAUGCUGGGAUGUGAUGGGGAGCGAAAUUUAGUAGCGAAGUAGCUGAUUUCACACUGUCAAGAAAAGUCUCUAUCGAGGUUAAAGGUACCCGUACCGCAAACCGACACAGGUGGGUGAGGAGAGUAUCCUAAGGCCAGCGAGAGAACUGUUGUUAAGGAACUCGGCAAAAUGACCCCGUAACUUAGGGAUAAGGGGUGCCACCAUCAGGUGGCCGCAGAGAAUAGGCCCAAGCGACUGUUUACCAAAAACAUAGGUUUCUGCUAAGUCGCAAGACGAUGUAUAGGAGCUGACGCCUGCCCGGUGCUGGAAGGUUAAGGGGAUCUGUUAGAGCAAUCGAAGCAGUGAACUUAAGCCCCAGUAAACGGCGGCCGUAACUAUAACGGUCCUAAGGUAGCGAAAUUCCUUGUCGGGUAAGUUCCGACCCGCACGAAAGGCGUAACGAUUUGGGCACUGUCUCAACAACAGACUCGGUGAAAUUGUAAUUCCGGUGAAGAUGCCGGAUACCUGCGACAGGACGGAAAGACCCCAUGGAGCUUUACUGUAGCUUGACAUUGGGUCUUGGUACUACAUGUACAGGAUAGGUGGGAGGCUUUGAAACCAGGACGCCAGUUUUGGCGGAGCCAUCCUUGGGAUACCACCCUUGUAGUACUGGGACUCUAACCAUAGGCCAUGAAUCUGGUCUUGGGACACUGUCAGGUGGGCAGUUUGACUGGGGCGGUCGCCUCCCAAAAGGUAACGGAGGCGCUCAAAGGUUCUCUCAGUACGGUCGGAAAUCGUACGUAGAGUGUAAAGGCAAAAGAGAGCUUGAUUGCAAGACAUACAGGUCGAGCAAGGAUGAAAAUCGGACUUAGUGAUCCGGUGGUUCUGCGUGGAAGGGCCAUCGCUCAACGGAUAAAAGCUACCCUGGGGAUAACAGGCUUAUCUCCCCCAAGAGUCCACAUCGACGGGGAGGUUUGGCACCUCGAUGUCGGCUCAUCACAUCCUGGGGCUGUAGUAGGUCCCAAGGGUUGGGCUGUUCGCCCAUUAAAGUGGUACGCGAGCUGGGUUCAGAACGUCGUGAGACAGUUCGGUCCCUAUCCGUCGCAGGCGUAGGAAAUUUGAGAAGACCUGUCCUUAGUACGAGAGGACCGGGAUGGACGUACCUCUGGUGUACCAGUUGUNNNNNNNNNNNNNNNNNNNNNNCUGCCAAGGGCAUGGCUGGGUAGCUAUGUACGGAAUGGAUAAGCGCUGAAAGCAUCUAAGCGCGAAGCCAACUUCAAGAUAAGAUUUCCCACCGCAAGGGUAAGACCCCAGAAAGACUAUCUGGUUGAUAGGUCGAAGGUGUAAGUGCAGUAAUGUAUUUAGCUUAUCGAUACUAAUAGGUCGAGGACUUGACCAA
rnacentral:rRNA from 1 species